rnacentral:rRNA from 1 species
UACAGAGGUCUCAAGCGUUGUUCGGAAUUACUGGGCGUAAAGGGUGCGCAGGCCGCGCGGGCAGUCAAAUGUGUAAUCCAGGGGCUCAACCCCUGAACUGCGCUUGAUACUUCCGCGCUCGAGCUUUGGAGAGGAGUCUGGAAUUCUCGGUGUAGCAGUGAAAUGCGUGGAUAUCGAGAAGAACACUUAGGGCGUAGGCAAGACUCUGGACAAAGGCUGACGCUCAUGCACGAAGGCUAGGGUAGCGAACGGG